AUACAGAGGGUGCAAGCGUUACUCGGAAUCACUGGGCGUAAAGCGCGCGCAGGCGGUCUUUUAAGUUGGAUGUGAAAGCCUACGGCUCAACCGUAGAACUGCAUCCAAAACUAUUAGACUAGAGUGUGGGAGAGGAAGAUGGAAUUAGUUGUGUAGGGGUAAAAUCCGUAGAGAUAACUAGGAAUACCAAAAGCGAAGGCAAUCUUCUGGAACACUACUGACGCUGAGGCGCGAAAGCGUGGGGAGCAAACAGGAUUAGAAACCCCGUAGUCC
rnacentral:rRNA from 1 species